GACGUAGGGCGCGAGCGUUGUCCGGAUUUAUUGGGCGUAAAGAGCUCGUAGGCGGCUUGUCGCGUCGGCUGUGAAAACCCGCGGCUCAACUGCGGGCUUGCAGUUGAUACGGGCAGGCUAGAGUUCGGUAGGGGAGACUGGAAUUCCUGGUGUAGCGGUGAAAUGCGCAGAUAUCAGGAGGAACACCGGUGGCGAAGGCGGGUCUCUGGGCCGAUACUGACGCUGAGGAGCGAAAGCGUGGGGAGCGAACAGG
rnacentral:rRNA from 1 species